UGGGGAAUCUUGCACAAUGGGGGAAACCCUGAUGCAGCGACGCCGCGUGAACGAUGAAGCCCUUCGGGGUGUAAAGUUCUUUCGACAGGAACGAUAAUGACGAUACCUGGAGAAGAAGCUGCGGCUAACUACGUGCCAGCAGCCGCGGUAAUACGUAGGCAGCGAGCGUUGUUCGGAGUUACUGGGCGUAAAGAGUGCGUAGGCGGCGAGCCAAGUUUGGUGUGAAAUCUCCCGGCUUAACCGGGAGGGUGCGCCGAAAACUGGUUGGCUGGAGUAUGGGAGAGGAAAGCGGAAUUCCUGGUGUAGCGGUGAAAUGCGUAGAUAUCAGGAGGAACACCUGCGGUGUAGACAGCUUUCUGGACCAAAACUGACGCUGAGGCACGAAAGCGUGGGUAGCAAACA
rnacentral:rRNA from 1 species